AGACAGAGGCCAGUGUGAUAUAAAGACAGGUGAGAUAGAUAAUAGGACAGUAAGGAAGAUACGAAGGGGUAGCCAGACCCUGCCAAUAGGGGAGGAGCACGGAUGUGGAAUUCAGGAAGUUCCAAAGCCAUACUGAGAAUAAAUGCUGUUCCACUGAAAUACACAGCUCAGUGACAUUGAACAGCAGAUACAACGUUUCCCGUGCAUGACAGCAUAACGUAAGUAGUAACACAUUGUUAGUAAACUGCAGGUGUCUGACAGUAACUCAAUAUCAUAUUAUAUAACAAUUGGGACAGUGUGUAUAUAUAGCAAUUGUUUAUAUAUAUAUAUAUAUAUAUAAAUAUAGAUUGUAUAUCUCUGUGGCGUAUUGCUUAGGUACUUUCUAUCUUUGUGUAUAUAGCUGUACUUAUAGUUUGGUUUUUAUCACCACAUUCUAUUGCACAUGUGUUAAUAGUAAAUGCCUAACAAACACUGGAACUACUUUGGGGUUAAUGCGUGUGGUGAUAGUACUUGAGGUUCAUGACAUCAUUUAAUCACUUUUUAACGACUCACCCAUUAAUUGUUUCACCAAUUGUUUCACCAAUCACUUAUUCAAGCUUGGUUUUUGAACCUUUAAGGACUGACACAUUCGAUAAUUUGUGUUACAUUACUUACUUUAAUAAAGGGAUUAAAAUCACAGAGAAACACCUGAGAGUGCGCUCUAUCAAGGAUUAUUAUAUAAUUGCCUGGAGCAGUGAGCCAGGGCAGUGAGUGCGGGGCACCAGUAUAUAUACAUUGUAUGUUUUGAUCCUGGGGAAAGUCCCAGGAGGGACUGAAACGUUGAUCAUUUUUAUUUAUAUUUGAAAUUUUAAAGACCAGAGUGCAGCCAACUUCAUAUGCUAUCUAUAUAUACAAACACACAAACAUUAUCUAUCUGUUUUUAUAAAAUGUUGGAAACUACUGAACAGAAACAUGUGAAUAAAUUUAGUUUUAUGGUAAAUUAUAGUAGAGAUGCAAAGAUGAUACAUACCUCCAAACAAUCUGUAAUGGGGAAUCGGGAUGGUGCGGGAAGGCAACUAGUGACACCCUGAAACAGGCAGACCUGCCCACUGAUAGGCCACCAGCCUUCAGGACCAUGCUCUUGCCUCACAACGCUCAUACAUCCAAUAAUGUGCUUUGAUGGCGCUGUGUUGCCCUAGAGACAGUUCCUGGUGUCUCCAGGGAACUAACGUGGAACAGGACCCCAAAAUCAGGACUAUCCCGUCAAACAAGGACUGAUGGGAGGCCCAGUGAUAUCUAUGUGUGAGAACAGGUUUUCAGGACACAAGUUCCUGCAUAGUUUAAUCUCAAAUCUGGGUUCAAUAAUUCCUAAAAAGUAACUAAACAGGAAUUUAAGGAGCAUUGGCAAUUGCAAUUUUUAGGCCAAAAACAGCUGAAGUAGAAAAUAACUGAUUUGGAGAAUUCCGAUAUUUUGGCUUAGAGUUUUUCAUUUCUCCACAAAUCCCACUUUAUAGAAUAACCCUGAAAUCCUGAAGUCUUUAAAAAUAUAAUCAUCUGUAGUACCUGAAAAGUGUAUCUGUUAGUAAAAGCUGAUAUUUCCAUGGGAAUUCAAUGCAAUCUGACUGCUCAAUCCAAUAGAAACCCACUGAAAAACGACAUACAGAAAAAGCUAAGAUUCAAUGGCCUCAAUUUAAUAUUUUGUAGGCUUUUUAAAUUAUUUAGUAUUUUUUUUUAAAAUAUAAAAAAAUUAUAUCUGUAUAUAUAUAUAUAUUAAUAUUUAAAAAAUAUAUCUAUAACAUAUCAAUAUUUAAAAAUAAAGCUAUAUUACAAUAUUAAAUUGUUUUUUUUAAAGUUUAACAAAAAAUAUUAAAUUGGGCGUAUGUUACAAAGAAACAUAGAAUAUAACGGCAGAUAAGAACCACUCGGCCCAUCUAGUCUGCCCAAUUUUCUAAAUACUUUCAUUAGUCCCUGGCCUUAUCUUAUAGUUAGGAUAGCCUUAUGCCUAUCCCACGCAUGCUUAAACUCCUUUACUGUGUUAACCUCUACCACUUCAGCUGGAAGGCUAUUCCAUGCAUCCACUACCCUCUCAGUAAAGUAAUACUUCCUGAUAUUAUUUUUAAACCUUUGUCCCUCUAAUUUAAGACUAUGUCCUCUUGUUGUGGUAGUUUUUCUUCUUUUAAAUAUAGUCUCCUCCUUUACUGUGUUGAUUCCCUUUAUGUAUUUAAAUGUUUCUAUCAUAUCCCCCCUGUCUCGUCUUUCCUCCAAGCUAUACAUGUUAAGAUCCUUUAACCUUUCCUGGUAAGUUUUAUCCCGCAAUCCAUGAACCCGUUUAGUAGCCCUUCUCUGAACCCUCUCUAAGGUAUCAAUAUCCUUCUGAAGAUACAAUCUCCAGUACUGUGUACAAUACUCCAAGUGAGGUCUCACCAGUGUUCUGUUCAAUGGCAUGAGCACUUCCCUCUUUCUACUGCUAAUACCUCUCCCUAUACAACCAAGCAUUCUGCUAGCAUUUCCUGCUGCUCUAUUACAUUGUCUGCCUACCUUUAAGUCAUCAGAAAUAAUCACCCCUAAAUCCCUUUCCUCAUAUGUUGAGGUUAGGACUCUAUCAAAUAUUCUGUACUCUGCCCUUGGGUUUUUACGUCCAAGAUGCAUUAUCUUGCACUUAUCCACAUUAAAUGUCAGUUGCCACAAUUCUGACCAUUUUUCUAGUUUACCUAAAUCAUUUGCCAUUUGGCUUAUCCCUCCUGGAACAUCAACCCUGUUACAUAUCUUAGUAUCAUCAGCAAAAAGACAUAUCUUACCAUCAAGACCUUCUGCAAUAUCACUAAUAAAAAUAUUAAAGAGAAUGGGUCCAAAUACAGAUCCCUGAGGUACCCCACUGGUGACAAGUCCAAGCUUCGAAUAUAUUCCAUUAACUACAACCCUCUGUUGCCUGUCACUCAGCCACUGCCUUACCCAUUCAACAAUAUUGGAAUCCAAACUUAAAGAUUGCAGUUUAUUGAUAAGCCUUCUAUGUGCAACAGUGUCAAAAGCCUUACUGAAAUCUAGGUAAGCAAUGUCUACUGCACCACCCUGAUCUAUAAUUUUAGUUACCCAAUCAAAAAAAUCAAUAAGAUUAGUUUGGCAUGAUCUCCCUGAAGUAAACCCAUGUUGUCUCUGAUCUUGAAAUUCAUGUGUUUUUAGAUGUUCAACAAUCCUAUCCUUUAACAUGGUUUCCAUCACUUUCCCCACUACUGAAGUAAGGCUUACUGGCCUAUAGUUGCCCAACUCCUCCCUAUUACCUUUCUUGUAAAUGGUCACAACAUUCGCUAACUUCCAAUCUUCUGGGACUACUCCUGUUAACAAUGAUUGGUUAAAUAAAUCUGUUAAUGGUUUUGCUAGUACACCACUAAGCUCUUUUAAUAGCUUUGGGUGUAUUCCAUCAGGUCCCAUUGACUUAUUUGUCUUUACUUUUGACAGUUGAAAUAGAACCUCUUCCUCUGUAAACUCACAUGUAAUAAAUGACUCAUUUAUCCUUUUUCUUAAAGCGGCACUGUCAUGCCGAACUUACCUUUCCUCAAUCUCUUCCUCUUCUCCCCCUCUCUCAGGAUCUGUUAUUCUUUUCUUCCUGUCUUCUUUAGUUUUCUUUAAAAUCAUAAGACAAAGAAGGGACUCUUUGCCUUAUGGAGGAUUCCUCCGCUUGACCAGCUCUGACCAGCGGAGGAGCAAAGUGUGCUUCAUUUCCGCUGGUCAGAGCAAUUUUCCCAUGAUCCCUAGCUUUCCUCUGUGAUCCCACAAUGCUUCCUGUCACUUUACACAAAACUGCCGAAUUGCGUUCUAACUGAAUGACAACAGUAUGUUCGUUUCUUUUAGAACGCAAUUCGGCAUUUUAUUCGGAUCGGAAUUUCAUUCUAAUGAAUGAAACUCUGAUCCUAUUCAUUGCUGUGGCUGCAUUUUGCAGCCGCUUAGUAGAUAACUCCCUAAUUCCCACGGUAUCAGGGAGCUAUCUACUAAAAGGCUGAAAGACCUAAAUUGGUCUAACAGCCAACUUUACUAAUACUAAGUAAAGAUUACUUAGUAUUAGUAAAUAAUAUGCCCCUACUCGCUAUAUCGCGAGUAGGGGCAUGUGUAGUAACCUGAGCGGUGGGUGGGGGCCCUAAUAAAACAAUAAGGGGGGGGGACCUACUGUCCUCCCCCCCCGGCCCCCACCCCUGUGCGUUGGGUGGGUGGGGGCCCUAAUAAAACAAUAAGGGGGACCUACUGUCAGAGUGCUCUGAGUCAUUUUACACCGCGUGGGAAAAAUUCUAAAGAACUUUCCCACGCUGUGUAAAAUGACACAGAGUACUCUGAUUGGGUGGCUUUCAAGCCACCCAAUCAGAGUGCUAUGAGUCAUUUUACACAGCUAGUCAAAAGAACUUUUCCCACGCUGUGUAAAAUGACUCAGAGCACUCUGAUUGGCUUAAACCCACCAAUCAGAGUGUUCUAAGCCUAAUUGCAGGGCGGGGCAAGGCUUUAUAAGCCUUGACCCGCCCUGCGGAGCUCAGUAUGCGGCGUGCCCUCGAAGGGCGAACAUGGAUUAUUUUUUUUUCUUUUUUUUUUUUUUUAAAGUGCGACGGGUGUAAUGGAUUUUUAUUUGGCCUUUUUGGGGGCUGAAGAAAGAAGAUUUUAGAAAAAAGAAGACGUCAAAUGGUAAGUUUAAUUUUUUUUUUUUUACAGGUUAGUUAUUUUAUUCCCCCCUCACUAUUUGUAGGGUGAGGGGGGUAGGUAGGGGAUAGGUUUUUUUGGGUGGGGGGUUGGUGACUAGGGGCUUGGGACCCCUAGUCACCUUGAUUGGGGGGGGGUGUUUCAUUUAGGGCCCCCACCCACCGCUCAGGGGUGGGGGCCGGGGGGGAGGACAGUAGGUCCCCCCCUUAUUGUUUUAUUAGGGCCCCCACCCACCGCUCAGGGGUGGGGAGGACAGUAGGUCCCCCCCCUUAUUGUUUUAUUGGGCCCCCACCCACCGCUCAGGGGUGGGGGCCAGGGGGGAGGACAGUAGGUCCCCCCUAUUGUUUUAUUAGGGCCCCCACCCACCGCUCAGGGGUGGGGGCCAGGGGGGAGGACAGUAGGUCCCCCCCUUAUUGUUUUAUUAGGGCCCCCACCCACCGCCAGGGGUGGCCAGGGGAGGACAGUAGGUCCCCCCUAUUAGCUUUUAUUAGGCCCCCACCCACCGCCAGGGUGGGUCGGGGAGGACAGUGAGGUCCCCCCUUAUUAGUUUUACUAGGCCCCACCCACCGCAGGGUAGGGGCCGGGGGACAGGAAGUUCCCCAUAUCUUAUUUAGCCCCCACCCACCAGAGGGCCAGGGGAGGACAGGUCCCCCUUAUUGUUUUACAGCCCCACCCACCGCGCAGGGGUGGGGGCCGGGGGGGAGGACAGUAGGUCCCCCCCCUUAUUAGGGCCCCCACCCACCGCGCAGGGGUGGGGGCGGGGGGGAGGACAGUAGGUCCCCCCCCUUAUUGUUUUACUGGGGCCCCCACCCACCGCGCAGGGGUGGGGGCCAGGGGGGGAGGACAGUAGGUCCCCCCCCUUAUUGUUUUAUUAGGGCCCCCACCCACCGCGCAGGGGUGGGGGCCGGGGGGGGACAGAAGUUCCCCCCAUAUCUUUAUUUUAGGCCCCCACCCACCGCUCAGGGGUGGGGGCCGGGGGGAGGACAGUAGGUCCCCCCCCUUAUUGUUUUAUUAGGGCCCCCACCCACCGCGGGGGGGAGGACAGUAGGUCCCCCUUAUGAGUUUAUUAGGGCCCCCACCCACCGCCGCAGGGUGGCUGUGGGAGGACAGUGGUCCCCCCUUUAUGGUGAGCCCAUUAGGGCCCCCACCCACCGCUCAGGGGUGGGGGCCGGGGGGGGGGGAGGACAGUAGGUCCCCCCCCCAUUAUCUUUAUGGCCCCCACCCGCCGCUCAGGGUGGGGGAGGGGGGGAGGACAAUAGGUCCGCCCCCCCUUAUUGUAAUUUAUGUCUUUUUUUUCAACAGUGAGCAGCCACAGGCUGCUCACUGUUUAGUAGACAUACCCCUACUCGCGGUAUAGUGAGUAGGGGCAUUUGGGAGAUUUAAAUCUCUCUUGUGCUAUUAUGGGGGUCAUAUUGACCCCCAUAGAGUGAGAGGGGGUACUGGGGGGCUUAUGAAGUGGUGGGGAGCACUGCUCCCUGCCGCUUCUAUAGUUACAUAUUACAAGGAGGGAGCUGCACGCCGGUAGCUCCCUCCUUGUAAUAACCUGCACGAACAAACAUACACUGAUACAUUGUGUUUGUUUGUUCGGCUGAUCUUUCUAUUCACUCAUUCGUCUGUCUGAUGAAUGAAUGAAUAGAUGAAAUUCCCGUUCGCAUGUCCAGGUGUUUCACUGGGCAUGUGCGGGAAUCUCACAGUCUGCCUAGUGUGGGCAGAUGACGUGUCCCACAGGGACUUCACCUACCCACACAAAGAUGGCGGCGCCCUGAAUCAAGAUCGGGGCAGAAAAUAAGGAUUAAAAAUAGGUAAUGUGGGGGGCUUAGGGGCAUUUGGGGGUGACUAGUGGGUCAAUUGGAUGUAGUGGAGGCGGGAGGGGGGUUAAAAAAAAAAACGGGUUUCGGCAUGACAGUGCCGCUUUAACUGAGGUUGAUUCCCUUGAUGUAUUUAAAUGUUUCUAUCAUAUCCCCCCCUGUCUCGUCUUUCCUCCAAGCUAUACAUGUUAAGAUCCUUUAAAUUUUCCUUGUAAGUUUUAUCCUGCAAUCCAUAAACCAGUUUAGUAGCCCUUCUCUGAACUCUCUCCAAAGUAUCAAUAUCCUUCUGGAGAUACGGUCUCCAGUACUGCGUACAAUUCUACAAGUGAGGUCUCACCAGUGUUCUGUACAAUGGCAUGAGCACUUCCCUCUUUCUAUUGCUAAUACCUCUCCCUAUACAACCAAGCAUUCUGUUAGCAUUUCCAGCUGCUCUGUUACAUUGUCUGCCUACCUUUAAGUCAUCUGAAAUAAUUACUCCAAAAUCCCUUUCCUCAGAUGUUGAGGUUAGUAGGGUAUGAAAAAUCUUAUACUAUGCCCUUGGGUUUUUACGUCCAAGAUGCAUUAUCUUGCACUUAUCCACAUUAAAUGUCAGUUGCCACAAUUCUGACCAUUUUUCUAGUUUACCUAAAUCAUUUGCCAUUUGGCGUAUCCCUCCUGGAACAUCAACCCUGUUACGUAUCUUAGUAUCAUCAGCAAAAAGACAUACCUUACCAUCAAGACCUUCUACAAUAUCACUAAUAAAAAUAUUAAAGAAAAUGGGUCCAAGUACAGAUCCCUGAGGUACCCCACUGGUGACAAGUCCAAGCUUCGAAUAUAUUCCAUUAACUACAACCCUCUGUUGCCUGUCACUCAGCCACUGCCUUACCCAUUCAACAAUAUUGGAAUCCAAACUUAAAGAUUGCAGUUUAUUGAUAAGCCUUCUAUGUGCAACAGUGUCAAAAGCCUUACUGAAAUCUAGGUAAGCAAUGUCUACUGCACCACCGUGAUUUAUUAUUUUAGUUACCCAAUCAAAAAAAUCAAUAAGAUUAGUUUGGCAUGAUCUCCCUGAAGUAAACCCAUGUUAUCUCUGAUCUUGAAAUCCAUGUGAAUUUAGAUGUUCAUCAAUCCCAUCCUUUAACAUGGUUUCCAUCACUUUCCCCACUACUGAAGUAAGGCUUACUGGCCUAUAGUUGCCCGACUUCUCCCUUCUACCUUUCUUGUGAAUGAGUACAACAUUCGCUAAUUUUCAAUGUUGGAUAUGUGUUACAGGGAAAAAAGGGACUGGUCUCCAGCCAAGGAUACUCCAAAAUAUAUAUAGGUUGCUAGAAUAGGAUCUGCCAAAAAUGGGGUGCGUUGGCAUUGAGGCAGGCUUAUGUAAUAUAUGAACAUAUACGGUACUGUAACUAAACACCUAUUAUUUUUGUGCAAGUCAGGUGUUUUAAAAAUAAAUACAUUUUAAGAUUACGUUUUAUGAGCUUUGAAGUUGGCGUUUAGUACAUGAGUGAGGGCACUGGAUUUACAUUCAAUUCAUUAUGACGCACAUAAUAAAUAAAUAAAUAAAUAAACAACAGCUCAUGGAAACAAGUAUUCAGUAUUAAAACAUUAGAGUCAGCAGAACAGAGACAAUAAAGGGAAAUUAAACUAAUCGUUCCACUGAAUUGUUUAAUGCUUUUUCCAUGAAACAAAACAUUAUUUGAAUGAGAUUCUAAAAUGCACUAACUCCUGCCAUCUGUAAAGGGAAGUUAAAGGGACACUAUAGUCACCAGAACAACUACAGUUUAGUGCAGGCAUUUUCAUGUAAACACUGCCUUUUUCAGAUGCUGCCUAGGGACACCUCUAGUGGCCAUCUCUCAGACAGCUAUUAGAGGUGCUUCCUGGGUAAGUGCUGCACAACAUCGAUCAUGGAGAUGCUGAACAUUCCCCAUAGAGAUGCAUUAAUUCAAUGCAUCUCUAUGAGGAGAUGCUGAUUGGGCAGGACGGCAUGUGGCUCCAUCCCUUGGCUGAGAUCAUCAAUUCUGAUGUUACCCAAGAAGGCAGAGCGUGGGCGGAGUUAUUGCUAUAUUUAAGGGGGGGGGCUAAAUAGUUUUUAACACUAUAGAAUCAGGAAUGCAUGUUUGUGUUCCUGACCCUGUAGUGUUCCUUUAAACAUAAAUAAUAAUAAUUUUUUUAAAAUCAUUAUUUAAAUUAAUAGGAUAAAUCCAAUGCAAGGAUGCUGUUACGCAGAUAAAUGAUUCAAUCAGUGUGUACUGGAAAUAAUAAAGGACAGUAUAAUCUCAUGUGUGGUGUGCUGUUGUGGCACUUAAAGCAUGCUUGUAAGUCUCUUGCACAGAAAAAAAUAAAGAAUUUAAAAAAUAAAUAAAAAUCACACCGAUAUAGCGACAGACAUAAUUACACAAUGUGUUCUCAGAUUACGCAUACUAUUUUAAAUAGCCUGCAUGUCCUCGCUUUACAUAAAGUUUUGGUUUACAUAGCAUUGCAUCAUACAGGCAUAAUGCGGAGUUUGGCACAGUGUAGCAGUGUUAAAGGACCGCUCUAGGCACCCUGACCACUUCAGCUUAAUGAGGUGGUCUGGGUGCCAGGUCCCUCUAGGAUUAACCCUUUCUUCUAUAAACAUAGCAGUUUCAGAGAAACUAUAAAUGGGUUAAUCCAUCCUCCAAAUCCUCUAGUGGCUGUCUCAUUGACAGCCGCUAGAGACGCUUGCGUGAUUCUCACUGUGAAAAUGACAGUGAGAGCACGCAAGCGUCCAUAGGAAAGCAUUGAUAAUGCUUUCCUAUGCGACCGGCUGAAUGCGGGCGCAGCUCUUGCCGGGCGUGCGCAUUCAGCCGACGGGGAGGAACGGAGGAGGAUCAGAGGAGGAGAGCUCCCUGUCCAGCGCUGGAAAAAGGUAAGUUUGGGGCACCCUCAGGGCACCAUAGUGCCAGGAAAACAAGUAUGUUUUCCUGGCACUAUAGUGGUCCUUUAACCCAUGUAUCAAAUUAAAUUAACCUAAUGUCAAACACAAUAGUAAAUCCUGGAACCAGGCAUGCCAUCAAAAUGUAGUAAUUGAUGGUAUGCAAUAUGUUACUGUAGAUAGUCACAGCAAUUCAAUGGUUCCUUACACAUCCCUAAUUUACAAUCUGCAUCAUUUACAUUGUCAAUGGAUUAAAAGGAACAACUCUGUUCCUCUGGGAGUUAAAUGAGGCAGGGCUACAAUACACAUUGUAAUCUUUGGUGUCUGGUGGACCCCAUGUAAGAAGUUAGAGCAGGGCUGUCACCCCUACCCCCGAAAAUUAGAAAUUCAUAAAGAUAGAAUCCUUGUGAAAUACUCAUUUUGACUGUGUUGGAAUUUCAGUGAAAUUCAGACCCAAUCAAGAGAUAUACUGAGAAAAAGUAGUGACUACUUUGUCUUUGUAUAUUUUCUCCACCUGACUUUCUUAGACACGGGGCGAAGCUUCAGCCAUCACCAGUGACGGAUGCAGGGUAUUGGCUUUGUGUUUAAUUAUUGUUCACAUUUUUUAGAUUGUCAUCUAAUUUGAGCAGAACUCUGUAGCCUCGGGUUCUAGCAUGUGGUUCUUGCAACCCCACAGUUGCUUGUUUAUUUCAGUUCCUCAUUGUACAGAGCUGCGGUAAAUGUUUGCACUAUCUAAAUAAUACUAGUACUUGGAUCUGCAGCAGGGAUGUUGUAUGUACAUUAUAUUGCAUUCCCGAAUCUCUGCUAACUGUAGAAAUUGUAAUCUUUUAUUUACUUUCUACAACGUGCAAUGGGUUCAAACGCUGCUGAUAUUGCCCAAGAUAUGGCACGGCUCAAGGUAAAUGCGAUUAUAAUAAUACGAUAUUGUUCCUGCAGACCCAGCAUUCUAUAAUGAGUGUUCCACAUUCCAGAGUAAUAACGGGCAUCUGCCAGUUAACAGAGUAAAUGUAUGGCAAACUAGACUGUAGCAAACACAGUAUUAUACAGUUAUAUAUUAAAAAUAACAAAAAAAAUCAUGUGAGAGCCACUAAGUGCUUUGUCAUUGCUACCUUUGUGCAUGAUCACCCCUUUGUUGCUGUUAAUAUCUACCUAGCAUUAUAUUUACUGUUUGAAUUGGCCAAAAAGUGUUAUCAUACCUUCCUACUAAGGAUUCAUGCUUCAUUUACCACCAUCGCAUCUACUGCUUUCUUCCUAAACUUGCCAUCCUGUGUGCGAUUACAUGUGUCAAUGAAUAGCAGACGAUGACAACAACGAGUGAUUAAGUAGGAAUUUAGACUAAUUAUAAACACCACACCAAGGUCUGAAUUCAUUUGAUAUAAUUAGAAAAAGGAAAUGAUAGAAACCAGUAGAAUAAUUCAAAGUGUUUAAUUGUAAACUGUGAUUUUGCAGCAUUCAAAUGCUGUUUUUUGUUUUGUUGUUUUUUUUUAAUUGGACAUAUUGAUAGCACGAAAAUUGCCUAUAUGUUUUGGCAGAAAGUAGUUACCUUUAAGGGACACUCCGGGCACCAAUACUUCUUUUAUGCAUUUGAUAGAUUUUGGCCUCGUUCGUAUGCUGUAAUUUAUGCACACAUUUAAAUCUUUUUAAUUUUUGCACACACACACACAAAAAAAAUAUUUUGCAGAACACUACACCAUAACCCUGCAUCUUUAGCCACACCCCCUCAUUGCAAAAAUACUUUCUUAUCAAAUGCAUGCAUACAGCCCCAACAGCACUGAGGGAGCUGUUUUUUAAUUCACACACGUGUUGCAGACAGUCAGAGGAACUAAAAACAGGUAGUGAUAUCCUUAUGUCUCCCUGGGUGUCCUCUCCUUCUAAUGCAGGUUGUCCUGUUGUUCAGAUCAUUCCAUACUGUCAGUGGCUGAGUUGUGUGGAUUCCUUUGAUAAGGAAGUAUUUUUCUGGUGUCAGGGGGUGUGGCUAAAGAGGCAGGCCUACGGGGCAUAAUUCUGCAAAACAUUUAUUUAUUUUAUGCAAAAGCUAUAAAGAUUUAAGCAUAAAGAAAGUACAUGGCAUUAAUGAGGUCAAAACCUAUCAAAUGCAUACAAGUUGUACUGGCACAUUUAAUGUAUAUUUGUCCUGCAAUUGGGUGCCUACAUUUUGGCUCUCUGUCGAUCAUUAUUAUAAACUCUGUCUUUUCCACCUGGCAGUGAGCACAUAGAGAAACCCCAGAGAAGAUGCGAAAUUAAACAAAUGUUUCUUUUUGUCUUUUUCAGUGAUUGCUUUGGCUUUGCUUUGUUUGAACUGGUCGAUGAUGUAAUUUGCUAAAUUGUUAAUAUAAAUUUAAAAGAAAGUGAGCAUUUAAUAAAAAGAAUGUUAACACAAGUGAUAGGUGGGUUUUAGUCACUGGUUUAAAUUCCACAGACAGACAGUUUCUCUGUCAAGUGAACCAACAUUAUAAAAAUAUACAAUGUUAUAAUAUGUUUCUCUAACUAACACUAACCCAACUAAACCUUAACAAAUCCUAACCCUAGUUAACCUUAACCCUGAACCCAAGUAACCCUAACUAAUUCCUCUCCUAACUCAAACUCACCCUAAUUGGAAUCCUAACUCAAACUCACUCUAACACUAACUAAUUCUGAUCCCAACUCAAACUCACUCUGACCCUAACUAAUCCUAAUGAUAGCUCAAACUCACCCUAACUCACCCUAAUUCUAAUCCUAACUGAAACUCACUCUGACCCUAACUAAUCCUAAUGAUAGCUCAAACUCACCCUAACUCACCCUAAUUAUAAUCCUAGCUCAAACUCACUCUAACCCUAACUAAUCCUAAUGCUAGCUCAAACUCACCCUAACUCACCCUAAUUCUAAUCCUAACUGAAACUCACUCUGACCCUAACUAAUCCUAAUGCUAGCUCAAACUCACACUAACUCACCCUAAUUCUAAUCCUAACUGAAACUCACUCUGACCCUAACUAAUCCUAAUGAUAGCUCAAACUCACCCUAAUUCUAAUCCUAACUGAAACUCACUCUGACCCUAACUAAUCCUAAUGAUAGCUCAAACUCACCCUAACUCACCCUAAUUCUAAUCCUAGCUCAAACGCACUCUAACCCUAACUAAUCCUAAUGAUAGCUCAAACUCACCCUAACUCACCCUAAUUCUAAUCCUAGCUCAAACUCACUCUAACCCUAACUAAUCCUAAUGCUAGCUCAAACUCAUCCUAACUCUAACUAAUUCUAAUCCUAGCUCAAACUCACUCUAACCCUAAAUAAUCCUAAUACUAACUAAAACUCACCCUCACCCUAAUUCUAAUUCUAGCUCAAACUCACUCUAAUGCUAUUUAAUUCUAAUCCUAACAAAGACUCACCCUGACCCUAACUAAUUCUAAUCCUAACUCAAACUCACCCUAACUCAUCCUAAUUCUAAUCCUAACUCAAACUCACUCUAACUCUGACUAAUCCUAAUGCUAGCUCAAACUCACCCAAACGUUAACUAAUUCUAAUCCUAACUCAGCCUAACCAUAAAUAAUCAUAAUACUAACUCAAACUCACCCUAACCCUAACUAAUUCUAAUCCUAACUCAAACUCACCCUAAUUAUAAUCCUAACUCAAACUCACUCUAACCCUAACUAAUCCUAAUGCUAGUUCAAACUCACCCUAACCCUAACUAAUCCUAAUGCUAGCUCAAACUCACCCUAACUCUAACUAAUUCUAAUCCUAACUCAAACUCAUCCUAACCCUAGGAAACACUAGCAAUAAAUUUUUUAGUAGAUUGGUCCCUAGGCUGAGUGAUACUUGUGAGAGCCAGUCACAGUAUUCACAUUGCCUUAGAUGAUAGCUACUAGCUCUCAGGUCAUUCAAAUAUCUGAGGAACCAAUCUGACAAUGUUGGACUGCAACACUGCUGAACAGCCAAAAAUAUCACCCAAGAAUGCACUGUUCCAGAUGAGCAUUGGCUGUCAGGUAUAGGAUACCUGUGAUUGGCUCUCACGCUGAUCCUAUGCUUGUAGUAGCCCAUUUGACUAUUGCAGGCCACCUCCUGACUUUCAGUAAUAGCAUGGCACAUGUUGCUUUAUACUGAUAGCAUACUUCCCAACAAUCUUGAUCGGAGAAUUGGGACAGGGACUAGUAACGACCAUAACAGGUUCCUUGGCUAGCCCUCAGCUUUUAGAACCAUGCAUGGAGUCAAGUUGUAGCACUCCCUGCAUGGUUUUAAUCAGUGCCAUCUUAACAACAUUAUGGGCCCCCAAGGCAAAACAGUGCACUGGGGCCCUGCCUACACAACCAGUCACAGGAAAAAAAAUUUAAAUUAUGUGUGUGAGUGUAAGGGGUGCUCAGUGUGUGUGUUAGGGGGAGGGGAAUGCAUAGGGAAAAGGAAUUAUUUGUUUGUUAUUUUAUUAAUUUUUUUAUUUUUAUAAAAGUUUCAUGUCCCCCCUCAGUGCCCCCACCCUUUUUCUUACCUUUGAUGGGGGUAAGGGACACACUGACAACUCUGGUGAUCUGGUGGUGAAUAAUGAUCUACAGCCUGCAGCUCCUCCAGCUGCAGCCUAUCUUCAUUCCUCCCUCGAGCAGGAUACUGUGUCGAAGCAUUGCGAUGGCAACGCGCGGCAAUGCUCAGUCCAGCAUGCUCGCGGAAGGGACUGCCUCCCAGGUUCUCUCUCCAUCCCACCCAAACCAAGCGAGCAGGGCCAGCUCUCCGUGGGCUGGCAGGGAAGAUCAAAGGAUCUUCCCUGUCGGCCGGGUAUAUUGGCAAUACUGUGGGGCUCCCAUGCUUGUGGGGCCCCCUGGCAACUGCCCAGCGUACACAUGCGGAAAAGACGGCCCUGGUUUUAAUGCCCGAUGUACAGUGCAAGCAUAUUAGUAACCUGAUAUCCCCAGAUACGAGACACGUGGGAACUAGAGCGGGAUGGUGGGACAGGAUCCUGAAAUUAGGAUUGUACUGCUAAAUGGGGAAUGUUGUGAGGCAUAUUGUGUGCAAGCACUGGGGCCAGCUGUCCCAGCUAUGAGUUGUGAAGGAAGGGGAGAUCUCCACAUGGCUGUUUCUAUGAUCUCUCACAAAGACACAUAAAGCCCACAAAAUGAUAGCACUUUUGCUGUCCUUCAUGAAGGUUACAUUGGCUGUCGCAAACUGCAUAAGUGGUGGAGAAAUACCCUGUGUAGCAGCCAUCGUGAAGGGGUUAAAGUUCAUGCUGCUGCUGCCUUUGUACACAAAAUCUACAGCAGAAGAUCUUCUUUGUGGCAGACCCUGUCCUAUCCCCAUUUGGUUGCCAGUAUUCCCCUUUUGAUUUCCCUGAAAAAACUGUGUUCCCCUGGCUCUAUAGCUUCACUCUACCGAAUUCAUCCGAACACUUGCUCCAUAGCGGCCGAGCAGUUGAGCUUGUGAACAGGCUUCAGCAGUACUUCAGCCAAGACCGCUAUGGAACUCUCAACACAUCGGCUACAUUGGCUAUAUAACUUUGCAGUUCCCAGGCAUCUUGACCCAAUGUGAUGACCCACUUGCCGACCUGCCAGGAGAACGCUAAAUGGAGGGAAGGUACUAUGGACUAUGAGGAACAAUCGCUCUUUGAGAGUCAGGGGGAACUUCCCUUCAUUUGACCACUGGAGCUCCCGAUAUUUGACCAGUGAAGACCACUUUCGCUCUAAUUCCUUAUGGAUCCGGGGCACUAUUUGGAAAACUUGGGUGCUCGCAAAAGAGCUAUUCAGGGGUGUAUUACAUGUGGGGUUCCUGUGUGUUUUAACUGUGUGUUGGGGUACUUUUAUGUUUUUUUUAUGUUUGGCUUUCUGUAUCCGGGAUAAUUAACUUACUGGUCCUUCACUCAAUUAUCUCCCAGACACAGAGACACCUGGGCGGGGAUUGUACCUAUUGUAUGGAGCUAAAAGGUCGGGUUUAACUCAAUAAAGUCAGUUGUACUCUGAGAACUAUGUGUCGUCCAGUUACUGGGGGAAUGGGCUAUAUUCACUAAGCAGUGCUUUGUUCCAGCUCAAGAAGAUUUCGGCAGAGACAUUUGGUCUUAGGAUUGUAGCUCUGCUACAGUCUUCUCCCAGACAGACUAGGAAGUGGCUACCAGUCAGGGUUCUUCCAUUCUGGUGUAUGAGAUGUAAUCUCAAGUAAAGCCCUUUUCUUCAUGAGCUUGUGGGAUACAUACUCCAGACCCUAGCUAUGGUUACAAUCACCUGAUUUGAUGAGAAUAGAAGCGCUCAGUAAGCUGAUACUUGGCUACUAUCAGUGUAGAAAUAACUAUCGGUGAACAGUUUACGUCACAAUAUUUUUCUGAUCCAACAACCACGUAUGCAACUUCAGCUUAGGCUCUCUCCUCCUUUGACAUUAGCAGAAGGGAUAGCUGAUGUUGUGUUCAGGGACUUCCUUGCACCUUACUCUAUCCAAUGAGCACAGGGUGUUACGUUGCUUAGAGUGGGCCUUUAACAGACACGUUUUUUUAUUUUAUCACAGUUUCCAAUUAGUAACCUAUUACAGCAUGGAUAGAAACCAACAAUAAUAAUACAUGCAGGUAUUCUAUGUAAAUGGAUUUGCUUUCUCAUUUUUGUUCUAAACAUCAAACCUUUUCAAAGACCUAGAUUAACCCUGAAACGCGGCUUAGACACUGGCACAGCUUCCAAAAGUUUAAACAAGUUUUUAGAAGAAUUGCUGAGCUUUGGAAAAACCUGGCAGUGGAAAAAUUCUACCUUGUUUAAUGGGAUCUGAUUUCCAGUUUCAAGAUUAGGAUAAUAACACUGUUUUUCUGUAAUUGAUAAUUUAUUAUACUACCAGCAGCCAGUGCCCUAACAGACAUCACCAUGUUCAUUGUUAUACACUGAAGUGUGAAUUGGUAUGAAUUGAAAGCGAAAUUGAAUAUAAAAUUACAGACUAAGAUCGCUCGUUUCAAAACAUAGGUAAUGUAGAAUUUUUUAAAAAUCUGAUUAUUUUGGCCUAAUAUUCAUUAAUCUGCCCCACACUUCCAAAAGUUAGUCCUCACCUACUUAUAAAAGGGAAACCAUGACAAUCCUGGCACCAUAACCCCUACAGCUAUGGUGCUUGGAGUGUGUAAAGAUACAAUCCAGAUCCCUAAAGCACGUUAGCUUGCUGAAAAGCUUUAUGUGUGAAGGCUGUCCUUUUUUCAUUUUGAAAAAAGUACAUAUUUCAGUAGAAAAUUACACUUUUAUAAAUUAAAGGUACACUAUGGUCACCAAAAUAACUUUAGUUUAAUGAAGCAAUUUUGGUGUAUAGAUCAUGCCCCUGCAGUCUCACUGCUUGAUUCUCUGCCAUUUAGUUGUUAAAUCACUUUGUUUAUACAGCCGUAGUCACUAUUCCCUGCAUGUGACUUAUUCAGUCUUCCUAAACACUUCCUGUAAAGAGUCAUCUAAUGUUUACACUUCCUUUAUUGCAAAUUCUGUUUAAUUUAGAAUUUAGUUUUAGCUUCAGCUCUAUUAAUAGCUUACCAGACCCUACAGGAGCCACCUGUAUGUAAUUAAAGUUCAAUUUACAGAUCCGUAGAUAAAAACUUUUAAAGUAAGUUACAAUUCUGAUUAAAAAUGAAACCAUUUUAUUUUUAUGCAGCCUGUGCCAGUCACAGCCAGGGGAGGUGUGGCUAUAGCUGCAUACACAGAAACAAACGUGAUUGAGCUCCUAAAUGGUAGUGAACUGAGCGUUGGUGAGAUGGAGGGGGGGUGAUGGUGAGAGGGAGGGGGGUGAUGGUGUGAAGGGGUUUGUUGGUGUGAGUAAGGAGGGUGAUGGUGAGAGGGAGGGGGUACUAUACCUUUUGUCAUUCCCUGGUGGUCCAGUGUGGGGUCCCUGGUAAUCCAGUGGGCUCCCUGGUGGUCCGGUGGUGAUAUCCAGUCUGCAGUUCCGCAGUGUGCAGGGCUGCAGAUCAUGUAUAUCAUGAGACCCGGUCAGAGCAUUGCCGUGGUAACCCGCAACAACAGUCUGAUUGGCCAGAUCUCACGAGACACAUGGUCUGCAGCUAUGCACACUGUGGAGCUGCAGACCAGCGGCCACGGGCGCUCUCCAGCCAGGCCGGGCAACCUGCAGGGGCCUCGCACCCCUCCUGGUGUCAGGUCCUCGGUCACUGAUUGAGGACCUGACACAGUCUCCCUAACUUGGAUUAGGUGGCCACGAGGCCUUAGGCGGCCACCUAAACCACUUAAUUAGAGAGCCGCCUCUGCAGGAGGCCGUUUUUAAAAUGAUUUAUAUAUAUGAGGCAGUGCAUAAGUCUUGGUAAUCAGUUCUGCGCUUUAUGGAACGCUGUACAUGUGUGGCCUAGAACUUGUGACACAGGCUAGAUUAAGCUGUUCUAGGAUUGGCUAGCCCCUGGUGUAGAUAAUCAGUAAUGAGAGGGAAAAACUAAGGUGUAUGAAAUAAAUAUAGCAAAAGGUAAACUAUGUAGAUGCUCCUGUUCGGAGUUGGGCUAUAAUCUUACAUAGCUCCCUGGGUUUUAUAUGGAUUAACACUAUGGCCCUCUGGUACCAUCAACAAUGUUGGUAAUUCCUUUGGGUAUAACUAGUGGUUUAUGAGUCAACGCUGUGCACUUUUACUGGCCUUAUGGGCAUCUGUGUAGUCGGGGGGAGGAAAAUUCAGACGCUGGAGUAAGGUAUCUCCUCCAAUCACUUCUGGCACCCCCCUGAGGCGGAUGUUCUUCCGUCUAUGCCGGGACUCCAGCACUGUCACCAUUCUUGUGAGACUCUGGACUUGAUGGGCGAGGUCUUGGACCUGGUCUUGGGUGGUCUGCAACCUUUGUUCCCUAGCGCCCUCUCUAGACUCCACAGCGGUAAUCUGUUGGCGCAGGGUCCCCAGUUCUGCUUUUGUUUCCAGCAGGUCUGCCUUCCACACUUGCCUUAUUUCCAGCAGGAGACUUUUGAUGUCUCCUUUCGUUGCCGGUGACGAGUCGUCCUCUCAGUCUGACUCAUUGUGGCUGCUGGCGCUGGAGGCGAAGAAGGGGCUUCCUCCUCUUCUCGGAGACCUCCUCCACGCUGAGUUCCAAAGGGGCCAUCUUAGGAAGAGCCCGUUGAGUAGGCCUGUCAAAGGAGAGUUGUAUGUCUGGCAGUUUAGCGGCUUUUGGGGUGCAAAAUUUUAAAAAAUUUCGCCUCAUGGUGUCGUCUGGAUGGGGGGGCAAUAAGGUGGGUUGUCUUUUGGAGCUUGUCGGGCAAUAUUAUUCUCUGAUUGUUAUAAUCUGGAUCGGAGCUCCUCAAAAGCACUAUAUCCCAUGGCCAAGAGGACACACUCUUUACACAUAAAGCUUUUCCACAAGCUAAAGUCCUUUAGGGGUCUGGAGUGUCCCUUUAAGUCAACGGACCUCAUAUUAUCAUUGCUGGUUUCUCAGGUAAUAAAACACAUAUAACUGACUUAUCUGUAUGUGUACAUUCUUGUGGGCAUGGUGUGAUUCCUGGGGGUAUUUGCAUACAUCUCUGAAAAACAAAGUAUCCGCUUUGGGAUUACACCUUGACUGUGUCAAUGUCUCCCUCUCCUAACCCCCCCAAACAAGUGGUUUUAACCCCUUAAGGACACAUGAUGGAAAUAUUCCGUCAUGAUUCCAUGUUAUUCCAGAAGUUGUGUCCCUAAGGGGUUAAAUACCUAAUGUUCAUUACAAAAAAAGUUAUGGGAUGAAGUAACUUCCUAUGUUUAAUGUGUUAUAUAGAUAAUGGAGUUAAAAAAAUAAUUAUAAUUAUAUAAUAAAAUAGAAUGUAGUAAUUAGGAUUGGGACAAUCGGUUAAGAGCGUGAGGUAACACGAGUCCAGAUAGAGUAGAGCUUUGCCACAAAUCAAUAUUUAAUUAGUGAAUGUGUCUGUAUAGUAAAUGUUUGAAUAGUCUAGCUGCCUUCCACGUGUUGGGCAUAUGCCCUUUUACUCACACCCAACAAGGAUACAGAUUGCCAUUCAUCAUAACACAGUUUUCAAACUUCCUUAUUUUCUCCCACUGGUUGGUUGGUAUUAGGGUUUGUGUUGGCAACAUAACAAUUGCUGGGGGGGGGGGUGUAUUUUUGUCUUACCGAACACAAUAUGUGGUCCCACCUCCAUGGCUGAGAUUAUUAAUCUCUAUGAUCUCAGCUAAACAAAUGCUUUACCUUAGGAAAGCAUUGGGAGGAUUUUGUGCAUGCGCAGCAAAUGUGCCAAUCCGCAUCACCUCAUAGAGAUGAAUUAAAUUAAUGAAUCUUUAUGAGGAACAUUCAGCACCUCCAUGCAGUGUUGGAGACACUGAACGUAAGUGCUGCAUGUGGUGCAGCAGUGACCCAGGACUCUCUAGUGGCCACUUGAGUGACGGUCACUUGAUGUGUUACUAAGUAGCAAUGUAAACCCUGCCUUUUCGCUGAAAAGGCAGUGUUUAUAAUGAAAAGCCUGCAGGGACAGGCUAUAGACACCAGAACAACUACAUCAAGCUGUAGUGGUUCUGGUGACUAUAGUGUCCUUUUAAGAAUUGCAUUUUCUCGUUGAAAAUGACUGGCUCCUAACUUUUUUUAGCUGGCUCCUAGAUUCCAAACAAAUAUAUCAAGCCUUGGGGUAAGUAAUUAUUAGCUUCAAUGCACACAAUGUGCUGCACAUAGGAAUUCCAAUUCCAGCACACACAGACACACUACAUCCCCAACACACAUACAGACACACUACAUCCCUAGCACACAUAUAGAAACACCACAUCCCCAGCACACACACCACAUCUCCAUCACAUACACCACAUCCCCAGCAUAUACACAACAUUCCUAGCAAAAACACACGCUACAUCCCUAGCACACAGACAAGCUACAUCCCCAGCAUUCACACACACACACUACUUUCCCAGCAUACACACACACACCACAUCUCCAGCACACACAGACACGCUACAUCCCUAGCAUACACACACAGACAUGCUACAUCCCUAGCACACACGGUACAUCCCUAGCACACACACAGACACACACUACAUCCCCAGCAUGCAUGCACACAGACACACACUCUGUGGGGAUAUUUAUGGGAUGAUAAUUUUAAGCAGUCGAGAAUUGCCCACUAUUUCAAUUCUCUUAGAUCUUAGAGAUCGUUUAUCAUGUAAGUGAAAAGUAUUCCAUAAAUAAUUCACAAUCUGUUAUAAAAAUAGAUUUAUUUUUAUUGUAACAAAUUAAUUAAUAAUAUUAUUAGGCAACAUGCAUGAUAUUAAUCAGUGAAUAUUUAGUAUAACAUAGUAUGCAAUACAAUGGAAUGGCUAUACACGGUUCCAAAGGCUAAACAGCACCAGCUGUCACUUACACGAUUUAUGAGGUAUCCUUACAGACACAGAAAGCGAACUUUUCACAGCGAAGAGCCAUAAAACCCUUGCUAACAGUUAGAUCAACUGAAUAACCCUUUUAAUGCUGGCUAGAUCCUCCUAGGCAUAUAGUAUCCUAUUCUCCUGUGAUUUUCAAUUAAAAUAACAUUUGAACCAGCUCAUUAGUCAUUUCCUGGCACCAUCCAAUAAGAAUAAUCUACCAGAUUUUUACAAAAACAAAACCGAAUUUUUAUUUGGUUAAAAGAUAUCUUAUUUUAUAUUAGAGCAAAUCAAUACACCUGGAUAAAAACAACGGUAUGCUAACACGUGAUACUAUCACAUUAAUAUAUAAUUAUUCUUAAUUCCACCUGCAGAAUGGAAUGUUUAUAACUAUAUAUUCUUUAGUUAACUAAGAUUUCUAAUAUGGAAAUCUGACCGUGAUUUAUCCAGUCAUAUAUCAUGCUAUUAGUAAAUUUUAAUUAAUUUAAAUUAAUUAAAUGAAACCAGCAUAAUUACCAGUUAUGUAGAUAUUCUCAUCAGAUGAGUAGGUAGUCCCAGAAACUUGAUUGGUUGUAUGGAGGUGCGUGAGUGAUAGAAAAAGUAUUAAAGAGUUUAAGAGUUUAUGUCCAAGAGAGUUUAAGGGUAGAGUGUUAGUCCCAGAUAUUGUCCUGGAUUUCUCUGCAUGUCCGACUUGGAUGCCCAAACUUCCAAUUCCUCUCUCUCUCUCCAUCCCCAACUACCCUGUCUUCCCUUUGUCCUAACUUUUAAAGGGCCAGACUCUCUGUACGUCAUUAGUUGAUAAACCAAUAGGCAGCCGUAGGUGUGUCCAAUCGAUGGAUCGCAAUUUAGGUAUUUGAUCCAUAGAGGGCAGUCUCGUCUAACGAAACCUUCCUAUCCAGGAAAGAGUUAACUUUUCCUGAUGACGAUUUUGACGUCAUUUGGCUUAUCUAAAAUGACUACCAUAACUUAGAUUUGCUGUCAGUUCAAAGCGUUUGUCCCAGUCUUUCUGGCAUCUACUUUGAUCGUAACUUGUAAAAUUGACAGUUCUAAACUCAAUUUCACCCCUUACUACAAUGGUACCUUGUAAAAUUUAGAAAGUAAAAUUAAUUAAUGUCUUCUCUGUCACUAGUGUCUGUGUUUAGAUAAUUGCAUCUAUUAACAUUUACAUUUUAGACAGAGCGUUCCAUCACCCUUGCUUCAUUGCUUAUCUUGGUUUGUUUAUGUAAUACAUUCCUCAGCUCAAGCAAGUGGCUAGUUACUGAAAGUAAGAAGAAAUCAAGGAAAUUAUGUGUUUUUGUUAUCCUGAAGAUAGCAAAAUGGAGUCCGCUUUGUUCUGAGUGGCUGUGGCAAUAUACACUUUUAAUUUCUUUUUAGCACAAAAUGUCUGUUGAUAUAAAUAUUCUGACAACUCCCCAGCAUGCACACACACAGACACACACUACAUCCCCAGCAUGCACACACACACUACAUCCCCAGCAUGCACACACACAGACACACUACAUCCCCAGCACACACACACACACAGACACACUACAUCCCCAACACACACACACUACAUCCCCAACACACACACAGACACACUAUACCCCCAGCACGCACACACAGGCACACUACAUACCCAGCACACACUACAUCCCUAGCAUACUCACUGGCACACUACAUCCCCAGCACACACACAGUCACAAUACAUCCCAUGCACACACACAGACCCACUACAUCCCCAGCAUACACACACAUCCCCAACACACACAGCACACACACUACAUCCCCAGGACACACACAAGCACAUACACACUGCAUCCCCAGCACACACACUACAUCCCAGACUAAUGGCAAACAUCCCACAUGACAAAUUAACUUGCUCCCCUUUGGUUUGUUAUUAGUGAUUGACAUAUAUUGUACUACCACUGCAGAAGCAUAUAUGUUGUGAUGUUAAAGGACCACUAUAGGCACCCAGAACACUUCAGCUUAAUGAAGUGGUCUGGGUGCCAGGUCCAGCUAGGAUUAACACUUUCUUCUAUAAACAUAGCAGUUUCAGAGAAACUGCUGUUUACAUAUGGGUUAAUCCAGCCUCUAGUGGCUGUCUCACUGACAGCUGCUAGAGGCGCUUCCGCGCUUCUCACUGUGAUUUUUACAGUGAGAAGACGCCAGCGUCCAUAGGAAAGCAUUGAGAAUGCUUUCCUAUGGACUGGCUGAAUGCACGCGCGGCUCUUGCCGCGCAUGCGCAUUCAGCCGAUGACAAAGAGAAGGAGGAGGAGAGUCCCCCGCCCAGCGCUGGAGAAAGAGGUAAAUUUAACCCCUUCCACCCCCUAGAGCCCGGCGGGAGGGGGGCCCUGAGGGUGGGGGCACCCUCAGGGCACUAUAGUGCCAGGAAAACGAGUAUGUUUUCCUGGCACUAUAGUGGUCCUUUAAUUUAGUGUGCAUUGAUCUAAAUAUGUUAUUGGAAUGUAUUUAUCUGAUUAUGAUAUAUUUCAUUUUAGUUUUAAUUAUCAUAAUACAACAUAAUAAUGUGGGCGUGUUUUGCUGGUGUCGUUUUGGGGGACCACGGCAGCAAAUUGUCUUGGGCCGACCCUGGUAUCUGGUUGUGUCAUUGUAUCUGCAUGUGUGUCAGUGUGUGUAUCUGUAUGAGUGUAUCAUUGUUUGUAUCAGUGUGUGUGUCAGUGCAACUGUGUGUUAGUGUUAGUGUGUGUUAGUGUUUGUAUCUGUGUCUUUGUGUGAUUUUUUUGGUUUCUGUAUCUGUAUGUAAGUCAUUGUUUGUAUCUGUGUGUCAGUAUCUAUAUGUGUGUCAGAGUUUGUAUCUGUGUGUCUGUAUCUAUAUGUGUGUCAGAGUUUGUAUCUGUGUGUCUGUAUCUAUAUGUGUGUCAGACUUUGUAUCUGUGUGUCUGUAUAUAUAUGUGUGUUAGAGUUUGUAUCUGUGUAUCUGCAUGUAUGUCAGUGUGUCGGUGUAUCCACAUGUAUGUAUCUGCACUGUGGGGAGCCUGGCAUCGAGGAAGAGGUGGAGAGGAUAUGGCAGAGGAGAAGCAAGGGAGCCUAGAAUAGAGAAAAGGGAAGAUAGUGCAGAAAAAAAAUAUAUAUAAAUUUAAAACAGCAACUAUAAUAAUUAUAAAUAUUUCGUAAUAUGAGGGGUACAAUUUAUGGAAAUUUAGUUGACAAGGGGUACUCAAGCAAAAAAAGUUUGGGAACCACUGCCCUAGAGUAUAAUCACUAGCUCUUGUAAGAGCUGUUCUUGUUCCUGCUACACUCUCUGGAGGAAGAGAGGCCUGCCCACUGGAAACUGGAUCCUGGCCUUGGGUCCAGGGUGGGAGAAGGACUUCGAGACCCCGGCGCAGCUGCAUCGCUGGAAGUGGGGUCUGCAGUGCUGAUGAUGCUGGGUGGACUGCUGGAAGUCCUCGGCAAGCACUAGGAGCAUCGAUUGACGGAAGUACACGGUGGGAGUGCCAUGCGGACCGUCACAGCGAAUUUGCGUUGUAUGCCUGUCGUAUUUAAUGCGCCAUCGAAUCUAAUGCACAUUAAAAUUUUGGAGACUUUAUUUUGCCAAUAAAGGUCCGCUUUAGAUUUGAGUAAAUACAAUAAUCCAUAUCAGAAAUACAAUAAUGCUUCAUGUUCUGCUUGGUCCAGUUCCAUCAUUAGAAAACUGAAAUUUUAAAUAAAUAAAUUGAAUUCUUUCAUUAAGCACCAUAAUAUUCACAUAGUAUUCUGUGCCUUCCAGACUGUAUUUCACUGAAGACUGUCUUCAAGCAACGAUACAGAUAUCUGUCUCCGUAAUAUGACAACAGGUACAAUUGCAUAUUUGUUUAAAUUUAAUUAAUGUGCCUUUUAUUGUGAACUAAUCUAACAUAAAGGUGAUGGGACUAUUCUAGUUAAUUAAUAUACUGCGAGAAAACAUGAAAGUGAAGGUGUGUAUGUAUAAGGGUCAUAAAGUAUAUAUGUGCAUGAGAAAGUGUUGGGGUCACAAUUAGAUUAUUGAUAGUGUUGAACAAGACAUGGCAUCUCAUUAGUACGGGGGUGGAGUAUCUGGGCCGAAUUUAACUGGUGAGGUGUCAGGUGUGGUUUACAGAAAUAGGGACAAAGACCAAGAGUAGUCUAGCACCCCCCCCACUCGUCCUCCUAAAUAAAAAUUUACCAGCUGCUGUGCUUGCUAUAAAGGGGGGUGUUGGUGGGCAAUAUCUGUUUAUUCUCAUAUGUUUCUAUGUCUGAUGUAUAUUUUUCAAAACGAUAAAUAGAACGCCUUGUGAUAAAAUAACAAGAAACAUAACCUAAUUAUAGUGAUAAGAAAAAAAUAGAGUGAUAAAAUAAAUCAGAGGGUGGUUCGUGGGUCAGGAUGAGGGUGUUAUGUUUCGCUCCAUAAUAGGAAUAUAGAUGGGGUGUUGUGAUCAGGGGGUGUUAAUCAGACUAAUGUGAGUUUUUGAAAAUAAGAUGUGAUGAGCCGAGUAGAGCAUAUCUAAUAACAGUACGCAUAAGAGCAUUGCAGGUCUGCUUACUCACCGAAAUUUGAAAUCAAUAAAUUAUUCCAUUAGGCAUCUUGAUAUUCACGUAGUAUUGGUUAUUAACAUUAAAACACACUGUGAUUUCCAUGAUGUAAGCCAUGUAAUGACUGACUGAUAUUGAAUGUUUCAGGCCAUGGAGAACCCUGCGAAUUUGAACAGAGCCUUUUCUGUCUGAAUGGAGGGAUUUGUUAUAAGAUAGCUUCUGUUUCUGGUCCAUUCUGCAAGUGAGUGACCAUUAGUUGUACUUGAUCAGUUCAGUUUAACAGGUCAAACAGUUGUUGAUAGCAGAAGAGAGCGGCAUUUAAUAUUACUGCAUGCUAAAUACAUACCACUCUAGGAACAAUAUAUAGGGCGGAGCACAUAAGAUUCCAUGGUCAAAACUGGGGGGACACUAAUAAUUUUGCUGCCAUUGGCUGUCUGGAGCCAGCAUGCUGUGUGUGCUGGCGUCAGACACCAAAUUUGCAUAGAAUUCACAAUAGCCACCUUGUUCUGGACUGUCUAAUGCCAUCUCUUUGUUUUGAUAUUUCAACUGUUUAGAAGAUAACUCCCCUGUUUUCUACCUUUUUGUGGGAUUGCAUAUCUACUAAACAGUGCCCUAAUUUGGUAUUCAUCAUUAUAGAAAUUCCAUAUUAGGGUACCAAUUUAGGGAAUUAUCUACUAAACAGCUAAAAAUAUUUUCUUUAAUAGAUAACUUCCUUAUUUGUUAUCCUUAUGUAGGAUUGCCAUAGUUAAGGAUACCAGAUUAGGGAGCUGUAUACUAAACACAUACACAUUUUCAUGCACACACAAGCACAUACAAACAUACACAAUCAAAAACAUAUACACACCAUCACACACACACACACACACACACACACAUAACCACAUACAUGCACACAUAAUCAUAGAUGUACAACACACAAUCAUAGACCUACACACUAUCACAGACACAUAAUCACAGACAUACACACACAAUCACAUAUACACACACACAAUCAUAGAUACACACACACACAAUCAUGGACACAUAAUCACAGAUAUACACACACUAUCACAGACACAUACACACAUUUUCGACUUAUUUAAAGUCCUCCCAGCCUCUCCUGGUUGGCCAUUGGUUGCCGGUAGGCACUCUCCCUGCACAUGUUCCAUAUGUGCCGAUGCUGGGAUGAUGUCAGACCUUGGCUACCAGCAUGGCAUGCAAGGGAGCUGAGCAGGGAGAACACAGAAUGUACUUACUUCCCUCGCAAACCCCUUGAUCAGACAACAUUAUAUUUGUUCAGAGUAUGUACCUUCUGCGUGGGUAGGCAGGCUCCUACUUUGCCAGAUACAGUUAGUGAUAGUAGCACUUGGUGGAGGGUGGGGGGGCACACCUAGGGGAAUGAAUAAUUAUUCCCCCUCACACCCCUGUGACGACGUCAUAGAUGCCAGGAGGACUUCUACUCUGUCUUACAACAGAUAACAUACACUGUCCUUACAUGUCUGGUGUUAUAUACUGAGAACAAUGUUUUGUGUGUUACUGUAUCUAGGACUUAUUGCAUGCAGAUUAGAAAUAGCAAUGGAAUUAGUAGGCCAUAAGAUUUAUCAAACAUUGUGCAAUUUGGCAGUGCAUGUUCAAUGCAGGUUCAGAAUCAUAUAUGCAAACAUUUUGGCUGCCAUUUCAUCUAUCAUAAGACACUCGUACACUGAUUAUCUAAUACGCCCUUGGCUUCUGGUUUCAUUUAAGUUUCUAAAAACGUUUCUCUUUUGAAGGAAUACUCCAGACACCAUUACUACAAUAUACAUACAUAAAUCAGGUGGAGCUUCUUAGAAAAACAAUGUAACAGAUAUUCUGUAAAAUAGAAUAUAAACCAUAGUGCAAUACAGUAAUAUAAAUAAAGUAAAGGUAUGUAUGCAGUAGGUAUUCCACUCACAAGCCUGGAGUCAUAAUCUCAUAUGACUCAGAUGGUGUGUGCCUUUGGACCAAUUCAGGAUGUCCAGAUCCUUCUUUCUUGCAGGAUUCCGUCUGUAAUCACCUUUAACCAACUUUCAGACCAAAAAUGUCAGGUCAGCGUUAGGUUUCUAAAAGGAUGGUGCUUUAUUUAAAGUAGAAAUAAAACUUUUAAAAGAAAUUAACAUUUAAAAUCAAGUAAAAUAUAACAGCUUUAAAUGGGGCUAUAUAGUCCUUAAUAAUUGCCAAAACGCGUUUCGCCCGGUAUAACAGGCUUCCUCAGUCGGCUAAAAUGUCCACUGUUUAGUCUUCUCAGCUUUUUAAAAAGUCCGCUCAUUUUUACUUCCGGGUUCCGGUUCUCGUCUCGGUGGAACGCAAUUAUGCGUUCCAAUGAUGUCACUUCCUGUUUCAUCACUUCCGGAUUGAUACAUUAUUCGGUUGGAACGCAUCGUGCGUUCCAGUAGUGCUAUUUUCUGUUUCGUCACUUCCGGUUUUCAAUCUCGGCCAGUUGGAACGCACAAUGCGUUCCACCGGCAUCCUCUUUCAGUAUUACUAUUAUUUUACAAUCGAUCCACAUGAUUUACAACUUUAUAAGUAUAUUUCCACACAUUCAUGUGUAUAUACUAAUAUACUUUGCUAGUGUAUCAAUAAUAUCACCAUAGAACUUUGUAUUAAACCCCCUUUCACAUACAUUAAUAAAUUUUGCAUAUAUACUAAAAAUAUCCAGUCUAUCUUUUGUAAUAAAAGAUGGUGUAGAUCUCUUUGAAUAUUUAUGCAAUAUGCAAAACAUUUUUCCUUAAAGUGCUUUUAUAAGGGGAGCGAUAUGUAUAUUUUAAGGUGCUCUUACAUUAUAAAGGUGGUAUAAAUAUUUUCCCUUAAAGUGCCUUUGUACAUUAAAGUGCUCUUUUACAUUUUCCUUUUAAGUGCUUUUUGUGAUGCUUUUUAAGCCUCCACAAUAAUAUUCAAGAAUAUGCCAUUUCAAAAACUAGAAAAAAAUGGGGUUUAAAAAUAGUAAUUACCUUUUUAAAAUUAUUUGAGUUGAACAAAAUAUACCUACUCAGAAUAAUAAAAAAUAAUAGGAUAUAUGAUAUAGGAAAAUUCAGUUCAUGAAAUGGCAUAAUUCAAAAUCUUGGUUUAAACCAUGAGGUGCCAUAGUGUUAAAGUUAAAAAUAAAUCUCAUUUCUUCUAUUCCUAUUUUCCUAAUGUAAUCUCCUCCUCUCCAGUCUUUUUUUACCAAUUUUAUUGCACAAAAGAACAGUCCUUUGGGAUAUUGGUUAUGGAAUAUCUUAAAAUGGUUGGAGACGCUAUGUGACUCCAAUCCAUUCUUUAUAUUCCUCGUAUGUUCUGCUAUUCUCGUAUUUAAGCAUCUAAUAGUUCUCCCUACAUAUAGGAGAUUACACUGACACUUCAGGACAUAAAUGACCCCUUUAGAAUGGCAAGUUAGGUGGUCUCGAAUUUGAAAAUUUUGGUUUAUCCAAGGUUUCAUAUCUAUUAUAUGGCGCUUCCUGCUUUUGGUAUUUCUGCAUGCUAGGCAUUGGCCGCAACCAUAAAAACCUUUAUUUUGCCUUAGGAAAUUUUUUUCCACUAAAAUUUGUUUAUCACUACUUUGUACUAAAGUGCUUUUUAAGUUUUUUGCUCCCCUAUAAAUGAUCCUAGGUCUUUCUGACAAAAUAUUUUUUAAGAUUGGAUCAUCUUGCAAGAUGUGCCAAUAUUUGUUUAUAAUUUUAUUGACUUUUUUGUGAUUCCCAUUAAAAUCACAAAUAAAUGGGACAUCAUUGUUCCAUUUUUGUUUCCCCUUUUUAUCUUUGUAUAUUAGAAGGUUCUUUCUAGGUAUUAUACGAACAUCUUCUAGAGAGGCCUGUAGCUCUGUUUCUGCAUAUCCUUUUUGUAAAAAUUGAGUCUUUAUCUUUCCUGCCUGUAAUAAAUAGUCCUCAUCAUUGGUGCAAUUGCGCCUAAUUCUUAAAAACUGUCCUCUAGGUGCAUUUUUUAGCCAGGGUGUGUAAUGACAGCUCUCUUUCCGGAUGUAUCCAUUUGCAUCCACUUCUUUGAAAUGAUUCUUUGUGGUGAUGCAGGUAUUCGUGAUAUUAAUGUCGAGAUCUAAAAAAUUUAUACUUUCCUCACUUACUUGCGCCGUUAAAACAAUGUUCCGAUCAUUCUUAUUUAAAAAGGUGAUAAAAACAUCUAACUCUGUCCUAGUUCCUGUCCAGAUAAAAAAUAUGUCAUCGAUGAAACGACGAUAGCACACCAAGUCCGCUACCCAGGCAUGUCCCCCAUAUACAAACUUCUCUUCCCAAUACGCCAUGAAUAGGUUCGCAUAACUGGGAGCGAACUUGGUGCCCAUCGCCGUUCCCCGGAUUUGGAGGUAAAAAACAUCUUGAAACCAAAAAAAAAUAUUAGUUAAAAUCAGGUGGAUACCUUCUAAAAUAUUUAGAAUCUGUUCCUCUUUAAAAUUGUGUUUCCUUAAAAAAUGUUGCACAGCUUCCAAUCCGAUCUUGUGUGGUAUAAUGCUAUAAAGGGAGGUUACAUCACACGUAACCAAAAAAUUACCCUUUUUCCAAGUAGUUUCUUCUAGCAGCUUCAAAAUGUGUAUAGUGUCUUUUAGAAAAGCGGGAUUGCAUAUGACUAGAGGUUGCAAUAAUUUAUCUAAGUAUUCUGAUACCUUCGCUGAGACGGAAUCAAUCCCGGAUAUUAUUGGUCUACCAGGUGGAUUUCUCCUAUCUUUAUGUACCUUUGGUAAAUGAUAAUAAACCGGAGUUUUAGGGUGUGGAGUAGACAAAUACUUGGCUUCAUCUAUUGUUAAUAUUUCCUUUUCUAAACCUUUCUUAAUAUAUUCAUCAAAUUUCUUUUUUAUCUCCUCGAUUGGAUUUCGGUCCAACUUUUGAUAUGUAAGAGGGUCAGACAAAAUUCGUUCCGCUUCUUGCACAUAGCUCGACCUUGAGGCUAUAACAACCCCCCCCCCCCUUAUCUGCUGGUUUAAUAACCAUCUCUCUAUUUUGUUUCAAUUUCUUGACCACAUUCUUUUCUUUAUUCGACAUAUUGUAUUGGUAUUUAUUCAGUGGCCUAAUUUGUCUUAUUUCUUUCAUGACCAUUAAUGCAAUCCCGCUUAUCUAAAAGACACUAUACACAUUUUGAAGCUGCUAGAAGAAACUACUUGGAAAAAGGGUAAUUUUUUGGUUACGUGUGACGUAACCUCCCUUUAUAGCAUUAUACCACACAAGAUCGGAUUGGAAGCUGUGCAACAUUUUUUAAGGAAACACAAUUUUAAAGAGGAACAGAUUCUAUAUAUUUUAGAAGGUAUCCACCUGAUUUUAACUAAUAAUUUUUUUUGGUUUCAAGAUGUUUUUUACCUCCAAAUCCGGGGAACGGCGAUGGGCACCAAGUUCGCUCCCAGUUAUGCGAACCUAUUCAUGGCGUAUUGGGAAGAGAAGUUUGUAUAUGGGGGACAUGCCUGGGUAGCGGACUUGGUGUGCUAUCGUCGUUUCAUCGAUGACAUAUUUUUUAUCUGGACAGGAACUAGGACAGAGUUAGAUGUUUUUAUCACCUUUUUAAAUAAGAAUGAUUGGAACAUUGUUUUAACGGCGCAAGUAAGUGAGGAAAGUAUAAAUUUUUUAGAUCUCGACAUUAAUAUCACGAAUACCUGCAUCACCACAAAGAAUCAUUUCAAAGAAGUGGAUGCAAAUGGAUACAUCCGGAAAGAGAGCUGUCAUUACACACCCUGGCUAAAAAAUGCACCUAGAGGACAGUUUUUAAGAAUUAGGCGCAAUUGCACCAAUGAUGAGGACUAUUUAUUACAGGCAGGAAAGAUAAAGACUCAAUUUUUACAAAAAGGAUAUGCAGAAAUAGAGCUACAGGCCUCUCUAGAAGAUGUUCGUAUAAUACCUAGAAAGAACCUUCUAAUAUACAAAGAUAAAAAGGGGAAACAAAAAUGGAACAAUGAUGUCCCAUUUAUUUGUGAUUUUAAGGGGAAUCACAAAAAAGUCAAUAAAAUUAUAAACAAAUAUUGGCACAUCUUGCAAGAUGAUCCAAUCUUAAAAAAUAUUUUGUCAGAAAGACCUAGGAUCAUUUAUAGGGGAGCAAAAAACUUAAAAAGCACUUUAGUACAAAGUAGUGAUAAACAAAUUUUAGUGGAAAAAAAUUUCCUAAGGCAAAAUAAAGGUUUUUAUGGUUGCGGCCAAUGCCUAGCAUGCAGAAAUACCAAAAGCAGGAAGCGCCAUAUAAUAGAUAUGAAACCUUGGAUAAACCAAAAAUUUCAAAUUCGAGACCACCUAACUUGCCAUUCUAAAGGGGUCAUUUAUGUCCUGAAGUGUCAGUGUAAUCUCCUAUAUGUAGGGAGAACUAUUAGAUGCUUAAAUACGAGAAUAGCAGAACAUACGAGGAAUAUAAAGAAUGGAUUGGAGUCACAUAGCGUCUCCAACCAUUUUAAGAUAUUCCAUAACCAAGAUCCCAAAGGACUGUUCUUUUGUGCAAUAAAAUUGGUAAAAAAAGACUGGAGAGGAGGAGAUUACAUUAGGAAAAUAGGAAUAGAAGAAAUGAGAUUUAUUUUUAACUUUAACACUAUGGCACCUCAUGGUUUAAACCAAGAUUUUGAAUUAUGCCAUUUCAUGAACUGAAUUUUCCUACAUCAUAUAUCCUAUUAUUUUUUAUUAUUCUGAGUAGGUAUAUUUUGUUCAACUCAAAUAAUUUUAAAAAGGUAAUUACUAUUUUUAAACCCCAUUUUUUUCUAGUUUUUGAAAUGGCAUAUUCUUGAAUAUUAUUGUGGAGGCUUAAAAAGCAUCACAAAAAGCACUUAAAAGGAAAAUGUAAAAGAGCACUUUAAUGUACAAAGGCACUUUAAGGGAAAAUAUUUAUACCACCUUUAUAAUGUAAGAGCACCUUAAAAUAUACAUAUCGCUCCCCUUAUAAAAGCACUUUAAGGAAAAAUGUUUUGCAUAUUGCAUAAAUAUUCAAAGAGAUCUACACCAUCUUUUAUUACAAAAGAUAGACUGGAUAUUUUUAGUAUAUAUGCAAAAUUUAUUAAUGUAUGUGAAAGGGGGUUUAAUACAAAGUUCUAUGGUGAUAUUAUUGAUACACUAGCAAAGUAUAUUAGUAUAUACACAUGAAUGUGUGGAAAUAUACUUAUAAAGUUGUAAAUCAUGUGGAUCGAUUGUAAAAUAAUAGUAAUACUGAAAGAGGAUGCCGGUGGAACGCAUUGUGCGUUCCAACUGGCCGAGAUUGAAAACCGGAAGUGACGAAACAGAAGAUAGCACGAUUGGAACGCACGAUGCGUUCCAACCGAAUAAUGUAUCAAUCCGGAAGUGAUGAAACAGGAAGUGACAUCAUUGGAACGCAUAAUUGCGUUCCACCGAGACGAGAACCGGAACCCGGAAGUAAAAAUGAGCGGACUUUUUAAAAAGCUGAGAAGACUAAACAGUGGACAUUUUAGCCGACUGAGGAAGCCUGUUAUACCGGGCGAAACGCGUUUUGGCAAUUAUUAAGGACUAUAUAGCCCCAUUUAAAGCUGUUAUAUUUUACUUGAUUUUAAAUGUUAAUUUCUUUUAAAAGUUUUAUUUCUACUUUAAAUAAAGCACCAUCCUUUUAGAAACCUAACGCUGACCUGACAUUUUUGGUCUGAAAGUUGGUUAAAGGUGAUUACAGACGGAAUCCUGCAAGAAAGAAGGAUCUGGACAUCCUGAAUUGGUCCAAAGGCACACACCAUCUGAGUCAUAUGAGAUUAUGACUCCAGGCUUGUGAGUGGAAUACCUACUGCAUACAUACCUUUACUUUAUUUAUAUUACUGUAUUGCACUAUGGUUUAUAUUCUAUUUUACAGAAUAUCUGUUACAUUGUUUUUCUAAGAAGCUCCACCUGAUUUAUGUAUGUAUAUUGUCUAUUUUAAAGUGGUAGAGGGGAUUCCACUUUGAGGUGUAUAGAGCUUCGUAUUGAUUAUCCUCCACCCUGUGCACAUAUUUGUUAUAUUACCAUUACUACAAUAGCGUGCUGUAUUGUUGUGAUGAAAGGAGUGCCUUGACGCUUCCCUAAUGUAAGUAGACUGACUACUUACCUGGGGUUUGCUGUGGGACACUCCAUGUUUCCUCUGGUUCAAUUAGAUCUUUUGAACUAAGCCCUGUAGAUGGCCUCACUUUAAAAAAAAGCCACCUUCUUGUCAUCCAAUGAAAAUCAAGCGUGAUGAUCUCUAGUCCAAUCCAAUGGUUCUCAUAGAGGAACAUUAUCAAUCUACAGCACACAUGAAGCAGCCAAUUAGAUCUCUUUGAGAACCACGGAAUCUAGCGUUCAUCUACGAGUAGACGUAGCCAGAUUAGGCAUCAUCAUGCUGUGCGGGAUGACGCUGAAUGUGAAGACCUUUGAACAUCAAAGGAUAUCAGCAGGAAGCAGCUCUACUGGCAUGUUUUAAGCCAAAUGCAAAUAUUGCCAUUUCUUAGAAAUGGCAGCAGUUUAUUUUAUCCCAGAAAAGGGUCAACAUCUAUGUGCUAAACCACUACACUACAGAUGAGUGGUUUUGGUGCUUAGAGUGUCCUUUUAAAGGUGCAGUCUGUGUACCAUAAUCACUAUGUUCCGACGUGGCUUCCAGCACCAUUGAUGGUAAUUGGUCAAAAUUGAAGGUCCGUAGGCAUCUUCACCUUGAGCCCCUGCUCAGCUCAGCUAAUGUAAAAGUUUCACUUCAGCAAAAUCAGUUUCAUCCAUAGUUUACAUUCACUCAUUGGCUGAAUGUGAAAAUGGUUUGACUAUGAACCAGGGGAUGAUCCAGCAUCUUUAAUGCACCAUAACAACUACAUCAGCAUGUAGUGAUUAUAGUACCCGUCUAUUGAAUUAUUUGAUAAUUCCAUGUUGUUCCAUUUAUAAUUUAUAAAUAUGAAUAUCAGUCAUUGGUGUUAAUUUGGACAUCAUUACUUAUUUUGUGUGAUGUUUUCCUGACAGAUGCAUUGGAAAAUACACAGGCACCCGUUGUGAAGGAGUGUUUCUAGCUGCGGAAAAACAACAGCCCAAAAGUGAAUAUUUGGUCAAUAUCCUGGUUUUUGCUGUUUUCUUAGGGCUACUGUUUAUAGGUUUAAUCUGCUUUCUCUGCAGGUAAGCACGGAGCGUUAGCAGUGAUCUAUGUCCACGUGCAAAACAAACAUACACGGUACAAACAAAACUCAUUAAUACAAUGAUCUGUUGGCCUUGGUAGAUUGUCCUCUGUGCAAACUUUUCAUAUUUGGAGAUAUCUUAUUGACACAUAUUUAUCACUAGAAAAAGUAGUUGGCACUUCUUAGCAUACUGUAAAUUUAGAAAACCAACAAGAUUUUUUUCCCUGUGAUAAGACCACCAAAAAAUCAAAUGUGUUUGGACUGAGUUCCACAAAUCCAUGAUUUAGUGUUACUCAUUAAAGGACCACUAUAGUGCCAGGAAAACAAACUUGUUUUCCUGGCACUAUAGGGUCUUUGGGUCCCCCCCACCCUCAGGGUCCCACUCCCGCCGGGCUGAAGGGGGAGGAAGGGGUUAAUAACUUACCUUUCUCCAUCGCCGGGCUCCCUCUGUGCUGGGGAACUCUCCUCCCUCUUCCGACGUCAGCGCUGAAUGCGCAUGCACGGCAAGAGCCGCACGCGCAUUCAAACCGCCCAUAGGAAAGCAUUACUCAUUACGGCAGCGUCUUCUCCCUGUGAUUUCCACAGUGAGAAGUGCGGAAGUGCCUCUAGUGGCUGUCAAUGAGACAGCCACUAGAGGCUGGAUUAACCCUAGUGUAAACAUAGCAGUUUAAAGAAUGAGCACAACCACUCCGCCUAUCAAAAAAAAAAUCAUAAAGCAGGGAUUGAAAUUAUAAACCCCUGCAACUAAUCUGCAUUAAGUAAUAAUCCAAAAAAAAUAAAAAAUCACAACUAUUGCCUUACAAGCUGCGUUUACAUCUAGGCUACUCCCUACGUAGUAAUUUGGCAUCAAUUUUUUUUGAACUAUUAAACAAUGGGCAUCCAAUUCAGAUGCCCAACUAGAGAUUUAAUGGGUCACUUAAAAACUCACCUCUAGGGGCAUCGUGAGUAUGUAUGAGGUGUUCUCAGGCUGGACAGAUGUCACAAAUGACCUCAAUUCUACACAUGCCCAGCUUCUCUCAACCGCUUAUUAAACAGCGAUCGUCAAACAGUGAGUCCGUUUGUGCUGUAGUGGAUGAAGGGGAGGGAAAAUGUUAGUAUUGCAGUACUCUAUGGUGUAUUUGUAAGCUACCCUUUCCCAAAAUGAAAUCACGUCAGAAGUUUUCACUUUCACCACUGGCAAUAGAUUCAUUUUUUUUUUUUUUUUAUCAACACUAAUCUGGUGGGUUGUGGACGAGCCACCCCUGUAUAACAGUCUAUUGCUAAAAUUAUAAAAAAAACCUUGCAUUAAGAUAUCUAAUCUUUAUUUACCUACUACUACUGGAAUAAUAGGCCUCCCCAAUAUUGUAAUAAGUAAAAAAACUACAAUUUUAGCACAGGCACUUCGCGCCCCUUCCUUUAGUGGUUAGUGUGGAUGAAUACAUUGUACAGCGCCGCGGAAAAUGUUGGCGCUUUAUAAAUACAACUUCUACAUUUAUAUAUUUCAUAUUUAUAUAGCACUGUGCAAACUUUUUAGGCAGGUGCGAAAAAAUCCAGUAAACUUAGAUGCUUACAAAAACAGAAAUGUUAAUAGAUGAUUUUUUUUUUUUUGAUCAAUUAAUAAAAUGCAAAGUGAGUGAACAGAAAAACAACAUUUUUUAUUUUUAUUUAUAAAACAUUAGACGAAAAUUGAACAAUCGUAGUGAAGAUGUACCAUAACAGAUAACCAUGGCAUCCAGCAUAGAUCCAUAAUAAUCCAAGGUAAGUCCGGUGGUUUACAGCCUUUCAUUAUUUGUUAUUUGGUAGAUGUACAAGCUCAGUUUGGGUAGGGAAGGGUCUGAUCCUUGCUGGGUGAGAUAUUUCGCACUUCAGCCACUUGCUUUUUGUGAGUGGUUUUCAAUUGUCUUUUUUUUUGUUGCAUAAUUGUUUUAAACAUAUUGAUUUGCACUACGUAUGGUUUAUAAUUUAUUUUUAGAUUACUUUUGUCAGAAUUUUGGAAAAAAAUAAAAAAUAUAUAUAUAUAAUUUUUGCGCACCAUUUGUACUUUUAUUAAUAAAGUGGAUUUGUCACUUUCGGGGGUCUUUGCAUAUUACUCAAAGACCCGCGAGACUGACAGAUCUGAUGUGUGUCCAGUGGCCGGGGGUACAGGGAAGGGGAGUUUUGCUUACCUCAGGCUGUCCCUCACGGCCGCAAAUAUUUUUAUCCUGCAACUCCAUUAGUGCUGUACUCUCAUGCAUGCACGACCAUACAACCAUGAGGUCUAUGGAUGAUUGCGCAAGACCUCCAUAAACCUCGCCGUUAUACUGUCUUUUUCUCUCCUUUUCUUGUGCUCCUGCAUUGAAAGUUGCAACCUUGGGAUAGGAUUCAUUUGAUAUAUGUUUAAGUAUUGUGUGUAAAGCAGGGGUGUCCAAAAGGUAGAUCCCCAAAAUAUUUAAAACUACCUCUCCCAUGAUGCUUUGCCAUUCUAAAGCAUUCUAAAGGCAUGCAAAGCAUCAUGGGAGUUGUAGUUCUACAACAUCUGGGGAUCUACCUAUUGGGCAUCCCUGGUGUAAAGUGUAGCAUGGACAUACUAUUCCCAUGCUAAUUAUGUAUAUACAUUUCUUUUCUAGAGUUCUGAAGAGGUUGGACACUUUACGGAUGUUGGAUCCCUGGCCACUAUUUCAGUCGAACAGACAUAAUACAAGAGACAUUGUAACAUUAUAAUGGGUUCUGACUUGUUGCAUGCCGAUUUGGGAACUUCAUUUGCCUAUAAAUCUAGCUGCUAUGCUCUUUGGGAAGCUGUCAUGAAACAUCUGCGGUACAAUCUGGGAUUGGUCAUUUGAAUUAAACUUUUUUUCCCAAAAUGCAACCAAACAAAUCUAUUAAUAUUCAGUAGAUUCUGGAAUCUUCAAGAAUAAGAUUUUGCAAUAAAUCUGAACAUGUUAAGAUCAUUGAAUGCCAGUGAUCUAGAAUAGUAUGUAGGGUGCUGUUCUAAUCUAGUGCACAACUUGCUUACGGAUUGUGCUGUAGUUUAUGUAGAUUCGAUGCUGGUGCCAGGCCUACGCUAUAAUAAAGCCCGUAGGAGUUUCAGGCAAACAGGAGACCAUGUAAAAUAGCUUCUUGAAUUAGUACCUCCAGUAGGGCCAUUAUAGCCAAACAAGCCAAGCGCAUUUCAUAUCUUUAUAUAUCUAGUACAGCAAUUAGACUCAGGCUGUAGCCAUGAUGGGACUUCAAUAUUGGUUGUUAGCAUCUUAAAAUAAUUAAGUACUUAAUAAAAUCGCAGUGUAAAUUGUCAAGCCUAUUAUUGUGGUGGUGGUGUUUAACAAAGUAUUUUGUAUUUCUUUGUUUAUUCAUAAUAGUUCAUCAUUGUUGCAUUUUAUUU